rnacentral:lncRNA from 1 species
GGCAAAAUACUCUGUUAUCAUUGUGUGCUUCUUGGCGGAGUUCUUCUUUUGUUGAACAUUAGAAUAAAGUGGCAUCCGUUUGUCACUUCGUAGAGAGUCCUCUGCUUCCUAAGCCAUCCAGCAGAGGGUCUGGGCGAGCUUCAUCUUGGUUUUGCUAGCAGCCUCUACCCAGCACCGCAGCGAUCACUCAGCGCCUCCGCCGGACGACCUCACCAGGUGUCAUUGCUGGAUGUCUCACACCCAGGAUCCCAUGCAUCACAGUCCAGCUACACAGCUCAGAAGCAAUAUCAGCCCUGUGGCUACAAAGGCUAUGUCAUGAAGGCCUUCUGGUUCUCAGAUUGUGACUUGAACUGGGAGUUAAAGGAUCUGAGCUUGGCAUUUUCUUUCUGUAAGUGCUCAAGUACACUUAAAAAAAUCCGUCCCGUACCACAGUCCUUGUAGUCAUCAUUACUGCCGUAAUGGUCAAGUGCAGCAGCCACUUGGGCUCCCUAGGUGUUUGCUUUAGUUGACACAUGAUCACAAUCAACCAUAGGUGUUUUUUUGACUAAUUAUGGUGCCAUUGCAUGGCAUGGUUUACUAGCAUCCAAUUUCCCUUGGCAAGGAGCUCAGUACUGCACUCAAACCAAAGAGCAUGACCAAACAAAUACCCAAGUCCCGUCUUUUCAGGUCUAUCUCCUGGAACCAAUUUCAUAUAAAGUCAGGGUCCAAUCAGGAGACAGAAACCAUACAGUAAUAUGAAUGGUGAAAGUUCAAUAUCAAGAAUUAUUAAUGGGAUUUGAGUUAUGCAAGAUCGGUUAAUGAGAGGUUAAAAAGAAUGCUAAAAAAUAGAAUAGCAUAUGUAAGAAGCUGCCUCUAUCCCUAAAGAUGAGACAGAGUGUCCCAUGUAGAGACAUCUCUUCCCCACAAACUUGAUACCCUCUGUCUCUUCCGUCUCCUCCCCUCCUCCUCUCUCUCCUUUUCCCUUCUAUCUCCCCCUUUCCCUCCUCUUCCAUCUCACCUUUCCUCUCCUUCUCCUCCUCUUCUUCCUCCUCAUCCUUCUUCUUCUUGUGAGAGUGGGUUGGUUUUGGAAUAGUAUAAGGCUGAGGCCAGAAUUUUCUAUUGACUUAGAUACUCUUUGUGGA